rnacentral:lncRNA from 10 species
UUGAGAAUUCUAAUUUCUCUCUUUGCCAGCACUUGUUAUUAUGCCUUUUUGACUCUAGUGCUAUCCUGGUAGAUGUGAAAUUAUGUCUCAUUGUGGUUCUGAUUUGUAUUUCCCUAAUGACUAAUUCCCUAAGCAUCUUUUCAUAUGCUUAUUGGCCAUUUUAUAUCUUUUUUUGAGAAAUGUGUAUUCAGACCUAAAAACUGUUUUAAAAAGCAAUGUCAUUUUAAAUUAAAUGUGGAGAUAACCUAUGUUUAUUGCUGUAUAUUUACAUCUCUUCCAAACUCAGAGGUGAACAUGUGACUACAUCCUGGCCUGAGAUGCAGAUGAAGCUCCUGGGUAAAGGACCCUGAGAAAUCUGUUUGAAGGAGACUGCCUUCAGGGAAUGAACAUAAUUUUUUUUUUUUGUACCAGCUGACCUCUCUAGUCCUUCUUGCCUGAAAUGGAUAAGAUGGCUGCAGCUCCAGCAACCAUUUUGAGCCACGAGGUUACCCUGAAGAGGGAAACUUCGCAUUAAAGGUGGCCAAGCUGCGCAGCAGAGCCCGGGCUCCUGAUGACAUUGUGGCACCCACACCAGCACUCAACCAUCCACCUCCAGGCUUUUUCCACAUGCAAAUGAACCUCUAAUGCCUUUAAGCCACUUUAUUUAGCUCUCUAUUCUGGCCAAUGAAAGUGAUUCCCCACUGACCCCCAGCCAUGUUAGAUCAUCACUCCUUCCUUCCCAUUUAUCCAAUUUCUAUUUUGUCAUUCAUUUUUCCAUCACUGAGACAUGGAUCUUGACCUAAAGUAACUCAACAAUGAACAGGCAGAGCAGACUUACAAAACUGACUUAUGUGAUAAGGGUCACACUACAGAAAAACAUACAAAGGCCAUGAAAACAAAAACAAAAACAAAAAGGAAAGAACUGGCACUAGACAGUGUUCUAAAAGAUGAGUAAGAAGUUGCCAGGCAGAUAGGAACAAGACAGGCAUUCUAGGAAGAAGAAACAGCACCUACAAAGAGAUGGUGACAUUGGAAGCAUGGUGGGCUCAGAGGACUGCACACACCUCAGUAUGUCUGGGAUGUGGGGGGAUCCGUGGGAGAGCAGCAGAUGAAACUGGGAAAGUGGCCUAGAAUCAGAUCUUGCAGGGCCUUGUAUGUCAUUCCAAAGAAUUUGCAUGUGCUAUAUAAUCAAAUACUCCAUGCAAAUACUGAAAUGUAUUGUCUUUAAUGGCUAAUUGUGUUCCAUAUGGUCUCAUCUCUGCAAUUGGAGGGCAGGGGCCAUGUCUUCUCUUUUAUAAUCUCUACAAUGCUAAGCCCAGCACUGCUACAUGCCAGAAACGGAAAAAUAUCUGUAGCAUUAAAGUCAGCCACAUAGCCUAAGGGACCCACGCAGAUGGCUAUAAACAAAGCUUCAAGAUGCAAUUCCCACAAAGGAAUGAAAUGUAUAAGAAAUUUAUAAAGGAUAUGAGGGAUGACCAUGGACGCAGCACCUUCUUCAGUCAACAAUCUGCUGCAUGUCUCCACUGUUUCCAGUUAGCUUCUGGGACAGGGAUGGGGAAGGCAUGGGCCCUGCUCUCGAGGGGCUCACAGUAGAGAGGGGAGACACACACACAGAAGGCUACAGUAAGUCAGAGUGCUCUCUGCAAGGCGGAAUGGAAACCCAGAGAAGGAAGUGUCACUGGGAGGGCAAGAGUUAAGGUUCUCACGUCACAUGAAUGUGUGUUUAGGCAAUGUGACCUUGAGCCCAGCCUUUGAUCUGUGUGAUGUUCCCAAUGGCCACGUGUGACACUAGUCCCCACCUUCAAGGACUGUGAGGAUUAGUGAGGUGGUGUGUGUGAAGGGUCAGCACACACGCAGCACAGAGUUGAAUGCUCAGUAAUUGUUAGGUAGAAAAAAGGUCAUUAUUUGAAGUGGUCAAAGGUUGUAUUACAGGCGAUGGGCACAGCUCUUGUACAGGCUGAAGGCUCCAAACAGCCCUGACAAGUUUGUGGAACAGCAAGGAACUGGAUGCCGCUACAGGGUAGUGUAGAGGUGGGGAGGGUAGGACCAGGUGAGAGGAGCCUGAGCUUGAUCUUGUAGCUGAUGGGAAACUACUGAAGUUGGCAAACAAAGGAGGCAUCUGCAUUGUAGGGUGCUCCUUCUGCUGCUGGCAGCGUGGAGGGAAGUGUGGUGGGGUGAGUGGAUAUGGAUAGCUGCUGCUAGGGGUUAGCCAAGGAUGUGAGCUGCACCCACAGCACACUUAUUUCUGCCUACGAUCAAAAAAGGAUGUUCAGGCCAGGCAUGCGCCACAGAUUUAUUU